GACGAACGCUGGCGGCGUGCUUAACACAUGCAAGUCGAACGGUGAAGGUGGAGCUUGCUCCGCCGGAUCAGUGGCGAACGGGUGAGUAACACGUGGGCAACCUGCCCCUCACUUCGGGAUAACUCCGGGAAACCGGGGCUAAUACCGAAUACGACCUCCUUGGGCAUCCCGGGAGGUGGAAAGUUUUUCGGUGAGGGAUGGGCCCGCGGCCUACCAGCUUGUUGGUGAGGUAACGGCUCACCAAGGCGACGACGGGUAGCCGGCCUGAGAGGGCUACCGGCCACACUGGGACUGAGACACGGCCCAGACUCCUACGGGAGGCAGCAGUGGGGAAUAUUGCGCAAUGGGCGAAAGCCUGACGCAGCAACGCCGCGUGCGGGAUGAAGGCCUUCGGGUUGUAAACCGCUUUCAGCAGGGAAGAAGCCGCAAGGUGACGGUACCUGCAGAAGAAGCACCGGCUAACUACGUGCCAGCCGCCGCAGUAA
rnacentral:rRNA from 1 species